rnacentral:rRNA from 1 species
AAUGAACGUUGGCGGCGUGGAUUAGGCAUGCAAGUCGAGCGCGAUAUGUAGCAAUACAUGGAGAGCGGCGAAAGGGAGAGUAAUACGUAGGUAUCUACCCUCGGGUCUGGGAUAGCAGCGGGAAACUGCUGGUAAUACCAGAUAACGUCUCCGGACCAAAGGUGUGAUUCCACCUGAGGAGGAGCCUACGGCCUAUUAGCUAGUUGGUAGGGUAACGGCCUACCGAGGCAAAGAUGGGUAUGGGGUGUGAGAGCAUGCCCCCACUCACUGGGACUGAGACACUGCCCAGACACCUACGGGUGGCUGCAGUCGAGAAUCUUCGGCAAUGGGCGAAAGCCUGACCGAGCGACGCCGCGUGCGGGAUGAAGGCCUUCGGGUUGUAAACCGCUGUCGUAGUGGAGGAAAUGUAGGAGAGUUAUCUCUUUUACUUGACUAAUACUAGGAGGAAGGACCGGCUAAUCUCGUGCCAGCCGCCGCAGUAACAC